UUUAUGGAGAGUUUGAUCCUGGCUCAGAGUGAACGCUGGCGGCGUGCCUAAUACAUGCAAGUCGAACGAUGAAGCUUCUAGCUUGCUAGAAUGCUGAUUAGUGGCGCACGGGUGAGUAACGCAUAGGUCAUGUGCCUCUUAGUUUGGGAUAGCCAUUGGAAACGAUGAUUAAUACCAGAUACUCCCUACGGGGGAAAGAUUUAUCGCUAAGAGAUCAGCCUAUGUCCUAUCAGCUUGUUGGUAAGGUAAUGGCUUACCAAGGCUAUGACGGGUAUCCGGCCUGAGAGGGUGAACGGACACACUGGAACUGAGACACGGUCCAGACUCCUACGGGAGGCAGCAGUAGGGAAUAUUGCUCAAUGGGGGAAACCCUGAAGCAGCAACGCCGCGUGGAGGAUGAAGGUUUUAGGAUUGUAAACUCCUUUUGUUAGAGAAGAUAAUGACGGUAUCUAACGAAUAAGCACCGGCUAACUCCGUGCCAGCAGCCGCGGUAAUACGGAGGGUGCAAGCGUUACUCGGAAUCACUGGGCGUAAAGAGCGCGUAGGCGGGAUAGUCAGUCAGGUGUGAAAUCCUAUGGCUUAACCAUAGAACUGCAUUUGAAACUACUAUUCUAGAGUGUGGGAGAGGUAGGUGGAAUUCUUGGUGUAGGGGUAAAAUCCGUAGAGAUCAAGAGGAAUACUCAUUGCGAAGGCGACCUGCUGGAACAUUACUGACGCUGAUUGUGCGAAAGCGUGGGGAGCAAACAGGAUUAGAUACCCUGGUAGUCCACGCCCUAAACGAUGGAUGCUAGUUGUUGGAGGGCUUAGUCUUUCCAGUAAUGCAGCUAACGCAUUAAGCAUCCCGCCUGGGGAGUACGGUCGCAAGAUUAAAACUCAAAGGAAUAGACGGGGACCCGCACAAGCGGUGGAGCAUGUGGUUUAAUUCGAAGAUACACGAAGAACCUUACCUAGGCUUGACAUUGAGAGAAUCCGCUAGAAAUAGUGGAGUGUCUGGCUUGCCAGACCUUGAAAACAGGUGCUGCACGGCUGUCGUCAGCUCGUGUCGUGAGAUGUUGGGUUAAGUCCCGCAACGAGCGCAACCCCCUUUCUUAGUUGCUAACAGGUUAUGCUGAGAACUCUAAGGAUACUGCCUCCGUAAGGAGGAGGAAGGUGGGGACGACGUCAAGUCAUCAUGGCCCUUACGCCUAGGGCUACACACGUGCUACAAUGGGGUGCACAAAGAGAAGCAAUACUGCGAAGUGGAGCCAAUCUUCAAAACACCUCUCAGUUCGGAUUGUAGGCUGCAACUCGCCUGCAUGAAGCUGGAAUCGCUAGUAAUCGCAAAUCAGCCAUGUUGCGGUGAAUACGUUCCCGGGUCUUGUACUCACCGCCCGUCACACCAUGGGAGUUGUGUUUGCCUUAAGUCAGGAUGCUAAAUUGGCUACUGCCCACGGCACACACAGCGACUGGGGUGAAGUCGUAACAAGGUAACCGUAGGUGAACCUGCGGUUGGAUCACCUCCUUUCUAGA
rnacentral:rRNA from 1 species